rnacentral:rRNA from 1 species
GAUGAACGCUAGCGGCAGGCCUAAUACAUGCAAGCUGAACGGCAAGAUUUGUAGCAAUACGAGUCCUAGAGUAGCGUAAGGGUGCGUAACACGUAUGCAAUCUGCCCGCAACAGGAGGAUAGCUUAGCGAAAGUUGAGAUAAGACUCCAUAAGAUCACGAGAGGGCAUCUGAUUGUGAUUAAACUACAAGGGGUUGCGGAUGAGCAUGCGUCUGAUUAGUUAGUUGGCGGGGUAACGGCCCACCAGACGAUGAUCAGUAGGGGAACUGAGAGGUUGGUCCCCCACACU